GAUGAACGCUGGCGGCGUGCCUAAUACAUGCAAGUCGAGCGAACGGACGCGAAGCUUGCUUCUCUGAUGUUAGCGGCGGACGGGUGAGUAACACGUGGAUAACCUACCUAUAAGACUGGGAUAACUUCGGGAAACCGUAGCUAAUACCGGAUAAUAUUUUGAACUGCAUGGUUCAAAAGUGAAAGACGGUCUUGCUGUCACUUAUAGAUGGAUCCGCUCUGCAUUAACUAGUUGGUAAGGUAACGGCUUACCAAGGCAACGAUGCAUAGCCGACCUGAGUGGGUGAGCGGCCGCACUGGUACUGAGACAGAGUCCAGACUCCUUCGGGAGGCAGGAGGAGGGAGUCAUCCGUGAUGGACGAAAGCCAGACGGAGCAACGCCGCGUGAGUGAGGAAGGUCGGCGGUUCGUAAAACUCUUUUAUUAGUGAAGAACAUAGGUGUAAGUAACUUGGCACAGCUGAAGGUAACCUAAUCAGAAAGCCACGGCUAACUACGUG
rnacentral:rRNA from 1 species